AGAAGACGCGGAGGGCGCGGACGCUGCUCAGGGGCGCUCUCUCUCGCGGUCUGCCCAGGCGCCCCGGAGCCCGCCUUUUAUAUAUGGGCCGGCGGAGGCGCCGCGUGUUGCAGUGACGUCGGCUCUGUCUGCGCGUUCCAGAAUUCUCAAACAUCUCAGGAAUGCUAGUUGGCGCGGGCUGCUGCCAAGCGCCUCCCCUGGCUCCAUUGCACCUUUGUGUGUGUGUGUGUGUGUGUGUGUGUGUGUGUGUGUGUGUGUGUGUGUGUGUGUGUGUCCCGUCAAGAAAACAGUUCGUUUUUUCCACCUUAAAUUACUUCUGUUAGGAAGCGUUCUUUGGGGCGUGAUGGUGGUGAUGGUGGUUGGAGGGUCGCGAGGGGAGAGGGGGGCCAGUUCAGAACUUUGCCUGGACUGGGUGGGUGGGAGGACCUGAGAGGGAGGAACAAAAGUCGUUUUGUUUGGUGAUUUGAGUUGACCGGGCACGGAAACCCUCACCCAGGAAGGCAGUGAGCUGUUUGCUUGUUUACAGCGAAGGUGAGAGGCAAGUUAUCUGUUGAAAGAGUAGAACGUGGAAGAGGAGUGUGUCUCCGAGCCAGUAAUAUUUGUGGACUUCAAAGAGGCGUGUUCAGAACAAGUCCCAAAGCUUUGGCAUGAUGUUUAUUAGCAAAAUUCAGUGAAUUGCAAAUUAAUACCCAGAGUGGCAUUUAUGAAUGAAAAGGCGAGGGGGGUGCGGGGGGGGGGGAACUUCCCCAUCGUUUGGCAAAUUCCCAGGCAGAGGUCUCCCCCACUCCUCCAGCCCUCCCCUUUUUUGGAUAUGUUGUACUUGUUUGUUUUUGGAGGUUCCCACUUUAGUUCCAGCCCACUGCCUGGGUUGGAAGUCCGAGAGGAAACGAACGCGGGGAGUUCUCCGGGAGGCUGACUUAUACUUCCUCACGGAUGCAGGAGACUGGGUAAGCCCUGCCCGCCUGCUUCCGCGGGCAAGAGGCUAUGCUAACCAAGCAGCCAGCCAGAAGUGCAGGGGACCACCGUGGAGUGCUUUGGCCUGAAAUCAUCACCUGCAAAGACUGCAAGGCCAAACCAGAUUCCAGUACCAUUAUGCCCUAUGAAUCUCUGGGAAAAGCAGAUUCCUUCAAGCUGGACGUUUUGUGGGGUUUUUCACUCCUUUCCUAGGGACCACUGGAAGCCUCCCAUUUUAAAUGAAUUGCAAUGCCUUUCUCUCCAAGUACAGAAAAGAGAUUUAGGAUGUAAUAUUUUGUAGUAAAAAUGUCAGCAGAUUUUAAGAUCCUGUUCUACCUGCAAUACACUCAGUAGAAGACCCCACCACAAGACAAUUUACUUGAACAUCACCAAUACCGUUAGUGUGAUUGAUAAACUUUCCCUGCAAGUUUCAAAAACUUUUUGCAUAAUUUUAAUAAAAAUGAUGUGAGACUCAUAUGCUCUAGGAUAACUACUUAUCCUUUUUAAUGUUUAGGGCUGUUCAGACUUCAUAAUUUAGCAGUCUUGUUUAAAAAGGCCCUUAGUGCUAAUGCUGACUUUCCUGAUAAGCACAAUGAGAAGCUGUCAGGAUGAAAACACACUCCAGUGAAGAGAACCCUUGCAGGAAGUUCAGUUUCAUUCAUUCCAAAGUGCCCUUUCAUAAAUGGAAGCAGCAUUUGCUAGAGGGAGUGGGAUUUCUAAAGCUCUGAUGGAGGGUUAGGGUUGGGAGACUUUUCAAGACAAUGGAUUGUCAGGUGUUAUGCAAAUACAGUGAGGAAAGUCUGGGCCCAACAUGUACACAGGUUAAUACAUCAAUUAUUAUUUACAAAACAUUAUUUUUUCUGCCUUAUCAUUUCAUUAUUGUUUCCUUCUUAAUGAAGUGAUUGCGGGACGGGAGGGGGAAGGAGGGGUGUAGCCACAGUACGUGUUGAACAGAGGGAGAUGGGAGAGAGAGAAUGGAGAGGAGGGUUCCUGGCUUCUGUUGUGGCGUCUUUUCUAUUUGACUUCAUGGUUGUAAGUAUUUCCAGAUGGUGAAUCAGACACCAGACGUAACAAUAUUUCCAUAUUUGGGUAUAGCAGUAGCCUGCGUUUUUAACAUUUUUCUGCCUCUGUUAUCCAACCACAAAGCAUUCUUGACAGCUUCAAAUGUUGUUAAAUAUAGAUUUAACUUCUCUUCCCAGAGCAGGAAAUUCUUUGGAAUUCCUUGUUUUUCACGCAAUCUGUCUAUCAUGAUUUAAAAUAAAAGCACAGUGGAUCAUCCAACUGGCCGUAUAUACCUUAAUUGGAGGUUGGGGAUGGGGGACGGCAGAGAUCCAGUCUGCCGCACUGCGUUCAAACACAAGCCAUUCCAGAGAUUCCUUUAAAGUCACAUUAAAAUUUUCUAACAAGGGUGUGUGGGUUUGUUUCUGGACUUCAACUGGGGAAUCUUGAGGAUGAGUUUGCCCCAGAGGAGAAAUUUAGAGAACCUUACUGUCAGCUGCCCAUUUAAAGCGGGGGUGUGUUGUGCGAUGGGGGUGGGAGGUUGGAGCAACAGGGCCAGGAGGUGUGGGAGCGGGAGACACUAGAGUACCCUAUGUGCACAGCCUCUCCAUAUACCAUGUGCUGGUGCGCCUGCUAGUAAUCGACGACAUUAGGCAACAGAAACAGCGGCUCCUCAAGUCCUGCCCAAAGACCGUCCAGAAACCCAAGCCUCCGGUCGCCUUCUCGCCGCCUCCGCUGGGAGUUGCAGAUCAGUUCAAGUUGACGGACAGAAGGCGAAAUGUGCAAAUGUUUAUGGUUUUAUCUGUAUGGAAAAGGAGCUCUGGUUGCUUUGGCCAAGACUUUUCAGUAGGAAAUGCUUCAAAAUACAAAGCAAGAGCUAUUUUCAAGAAAGACCUUCUAAAUUUAUAUUAGCAGGAGACCUGACUAAUACAGUGAGCAUGGAAAACUUGGAUGCCACAUGUAGAAGAGUUGGAGCCACAAAAUAGAAGAAAGCUGGAUCCCUGAAUAUUGCUUGGAAAAAAGAGUUGAGAACCAAUCAGGAACAUCUGUGUUAGACUUUAAGUGAAUAAGAGAUAAGCUUCUAUCAACUUUGUGCCAUUAUAUGUGUUGGAGUUGUUUUGUUACAGCUCCUAUAGAUAUGUAAAUUGAUCUACCUAGUGUCCUUUGAAAAUGCCUUUCCCUUAGAAUUCUCAUUCUCUCCUUCAGUUACUCACAUCCAAAAAUUAUUCAAGGCCUAAACCAGGUCCAAUCACCUUCAAGCAGCUUUCUUCCACUCCCACCCACCAUAGAGAUCUCUCUUUCUCUCACCUUCCUGUAGCACUUUGUUAUGUAUACCUCUCAUGUGCACUUACCCCAGCUCCAAUUCUGGAUGUCUUGUUUUCCUAGUGAGAUUGUGAGCUCUUCAAGGUCGGGAUCAUGUCUUUGUGCUUCCUUCUUUUGUGACUCUGAAGUGCAUAACAUGGUGAUGUGCCUUGGGAAUUUUCAAUAAAUAUUCAUGGGAAAAAUGAACAUAUCAAUGUAUUAAGCUCAAUAAAGUCCAUUUUCCUAAAAACA